UUCCCUGGGACACUGUAAUAAAGUAGGUUGCAGCAAGUAUCCUGCAUGCCAUGCCUCCAAAUGUACCAGUUAAUUACUGAGCCCUUUAAACCUACUAACAAGACAGGCCUUGUUCUUUCAACCUAUUGCUUUUUUGCCAAAAAGAAAAAAAAAAAAAGAAAAAAAAAGUCAUUGGGCAAAUAAAUCUUUCCAGAGAAAACAGAUUUGUUUCCAAAUCAGUCGACUGUGCUGAACUGGAAAGGAAGAAAUGUUAUUUUUUCCAGGAUGAAAGCAAAACAAGAUCUCUCCCUGUUUAUCCUGUCUCACCCUUUUCUAAAGAAGUGGGAAGCGUGUGAAAUACCGUGACAGCUGUGCCUCACUCACCUAAGGGAUGUUUUUCCAGAAUGCUCACAAAGACACAUCACAGCCUGAGGGUUUUGGAGCCUCGAAAAGCAGCAGGAAGGAGAUGGGUCCUUUCUGCAUGUCAGGCCUGCCUCUGCAGCACAGGCUGUGGGUCUGCCCUCACAGUCCCCUGGCAGAGGAGGCUAUGUCUGAGUGAAGUCUGAUGCAAGAACAUCAUCUUCCCUUGAAAGGUGCCUACCUUCCAAGCCCAGUGGUUUGGUGUGCAGAAAUGCUGAGCUCCCAGUCUCAGCUGAGACAGGCAGAGAGAUGCUUCAGUGAUUCACACCCUCGUGUCCUACAAGCACUGGAGAGUUUCAAAGGGUAACUCAUGUCAUUUUUUUACGAACCAAUCUUUUCCCUCAAUCUAUGUCUUGGCCAUGAGGAACAACUACACAAAGCUUUCUUCUCUACUCUAUCUGAAGUAAUUCAGCCUCAAGCAAACACCUGGACUGGAAAACUUUAUUCCCAGUGGUCAGAUUUUGGCAACAAUGUAAAUGACUGGUAAAUGAGAAAUCAUAAUAAAAUGCAAAACUGUCAGAACCACCUGUAAAAACCUUGAACUCUGGGCAGAGCUCUGCUGCUUUAGUGUCCCCAGCAUCACAUGUCUGUCCUGGCCAUGUGUUGUAUAUUUUCAGCUCAGAGCUGGGUAUGCAUCAGCCACCCAUUUAGCUCAGUCACCCUUGUUUCCAUCAAAAGGAAAGCUGCAGUGUGACCUGGAUGGCUGUAGGGCCAGGACCUCCUCAGCUCUGUUCUCUGAGUUGGGUACAUAUGAACCCCAAGAGAUGCUCCUGAGCCUUUGAGAGACCUGCUGACAGGUCCCAGUGAAGACAGUGGUGGAGCCAUGGACCUCUUAUCCCCAGAGGCAGGCAGGAGAUAGUCCCUCAACCCCUCGGGACUUGCUACCCUGACAGGUCCCCUAACAGGGGUACUUGGUGGUGACCAACAUGCUCAGCAGGGUCUUGCUGUAGGAUGUGAAACCAGUGCCCAUUCAUUUCUGAUAAUGUGAACACCCAGCAGUGUUGUGCUUUCAGCACACCCUGUUACAUGCUAAUGUAACAUUAAACAUUAACUGGAAAUAAAUUAAAGUCUCCAGCCCUUCCUCCUUACUGUGGAUCCACUCUCUGGCCUUGAGCAAAAUGCUAAAUUUUUCUGGGAACCAAUUUCCUCAGUUAAUAAAAUCUGUGGCUGGAUGCAAUGAAGAUCAAUUUAUUAAUGUUUGCGUAGCAUGGGAACAUCCUUGAGGGGAAGGCUCAGGGGAGAGCAGUAUUGUUACUCUUAUCUCCUCCAAGUUAGUAUCUAACACAUCUGCUCAGGGUGACUCAGUCCCAUGUCUAGCCUUUUGCUCACUAGAAAGUAUAGCAGAGUUUCUAUAGUACAAUGAAGCAUUGGAAAUAAACCGAGACAGGGAUUUAUAGCUGCACUUUCUUGCCAUGUGUUAUAAUAGCCAGCAUUAUUUAAUCACAGAAACAUGAUCUGGCCACAGCUAACUAGCUUUGCUCAGGUGUGCUUGUAAAUUUAAUUUGAGUUCCUCUACCUUGUGCAGAAGCUGAAUGCAGGCUAAUGUGUGUGCUGGAAAAAUAACAAAUCGUACUAUGGUAUAGAACAGGAAAGCCUUCAGUUUCACAAUAAAAUAAUACAAUUCAAUGCAUGCACUAUUUAUAUAGCACCAUUCAGAAAUAUAUUUUAAAUCUUUUUAGAAACCACUCGCAUGCUAUACCACAGCCAACAUGUCGAAUUCUAUUAAAGAGAAGAAAGCCAUUGUAAAAACAAGUCUUCGAGUAUACAUUUAAACAAAGCAUUCAUUGGAAGAGGAGCCCACUAACAAUUGGAACUAUAUAGUUAUUAGUACAGGUCCUGAUAAGAAACUGGAUCCAUGGCAUAAAAUAUUUAUCCAAUAUGUUCUCCACAUAAACAGAGUAUAAUGUUUUUUAUUGUAAAAUAAAUGUAUAUUAUAAUAUUCAUAAUGUGUUU